AAGUCGUAACAAGGUUUCCGUAGGUGAACCUGCGGAAGGAUCAUUAAAAUAAUAAUGAAUGUCGGGGGGAGGGCGCUUCGGUGCUUUUUCCCCCGCGUAUUCAACCAAACCCGCUCGUGUAUUUGGAUCAACCAAAAAAAUCAAAUAAAAUUUUUAACGAUAAUAAUUAAACAAACUUUCAACAACGGAUCUCUUGGCUCUC
rnacentral:misc_RNA from 1 species